rnacentral:lncRNA from 1 species
GAUAAUCCAAUCUUUCAAUUACACUUAUGAUGCUUGACAAAAAAAAUAAUUCAUGUAUCUUAAAUCACUUAAUUCCAUUCCGUCCCUUACAAGUGCACUUGCAUGGCUGUACUCCUCUGAGGUAUGACAGACUACGAACGAUGUGCUAUAUAACAAUGACAAGAAAAAUUCUUAAUAGAUUCUAAGCGUGAACUAUCUAGUGUUGCAAGCCGCGUUAGCGAUCUUAGUGACAUAGGAAAUGCAUUUCUCAAGCGGAUAUGUCUAUUCAUUUCCAUAGAUCUUGAUAUGCAUAGCUUCAACACAUCUCCAAUUUCUAACCUCUGUCGGAGAGUUAACAGAAUAUAACCCAGCGCCUACUCGGUGUGCGAGAAUGGCAUCCUUCCUAAGCACUUGCUGAAAUAAAUACGGACCCCUCGAAAGCCCUGAGCAGCUCUCGGACAAUCAAGCCGAAUGAAUUGUAAGCAGCUUCGAUCGACGUGAUGAAAGAUCACCUUCGACAUAUGCCAAUUCGAUAACCGCGUCCAACCGAGGCUUCCGCGUGGUAAGGGUGACACCACGAUCAUACACAUAAAGAUUUGCGUCCAGCUUUAUUGGACUGUGCUAUCAAAGCGGAAUCUGACUCCGACUCGAUGCCACUGAUACCCGAUUCAGGGUUGGAAGGUGCCUGAUACAGGUUGACCUUGUUUGCAUUUGCUGCAUCAAUCUUAGGUUCAGCAGUAGUAGAUUCGGGAUCGUUCUUACUCAGCCUCCACAAGAAGAACUUGUGUCUAAAGAUACAGAGUAUGCCUAAUAAGAAGGCAGCACCGAACGGCACAAUGAUGAUCAAGGCCCGCAUUUCAAACUUCGACUUCGAAGUCGACAUGACGAAUCACCACCAGCUAUGACUCAGCCCCUCAGGCAAUAUGCAGUCAACUGCAAAUCCGUCCUCAGCAACUCUAGCUCUACAGCUGCAACUCAACUGCCAACACUCAAUGUCGUUAAACCCUCCCCGCACGACGAAGCCCUCCGAUGAUCAGCACUGGUGGAACACCUUGGCACAACACCGACAUCACAAAUUAGCUUUGGCGACAAACAAACCCCCAUCCUAACUCAUCCACAACUCUGAUCAAUCAACAAAUCCAGAAACUAAAACCAGUUCUCAGAUAAAAGCAACCAACAAGUUCAUAUUUGACAAUCCCAUGUCAUAUCAGACACUAUGAGACAAAAUUUCUUGACAACCGUGGAGGUGAGCAGUUGCAGCCCACUCCGAAACCCCGGGACCACGGGAUACCCACGUUGGGCUCGGCGGUG